ensembl:lncRNA
CUCCACUGUUUCAUCCUUAGCAUCAAAAUGCUAACACUGAAGAUAGCUAAGCAUUAACAGUCACUAGACAAACCAGUCCUUACGACAUAUUUACUUUAUAAACUGUCAUUAAUAAUUAAUAUAUAUGUUUUUGAAAAAGUGUCAGUAUGUUGGGAAAAAUUGGAGAUGUUGCAGAAAAUAAAGACAUACUGUAGCAAUACAAUAAUGUGUCUCUGUACAGCCAUUUUAACUAGCAUUGAUGUCAGAAGCAGUGUCAUCACUCUAUCCUUUUGAUGAUCACAAAGAUGUUCAGAUUGCUACUCGGUUAUUUAGAAGUUAUUCUGCGUAUUUACUGUCUUGGUGUACAUGCUAACCUCUAACCUCUACAAGGCACAACUAGGAUUGGGUCAAAGGUUGCUGCAUCCUCAGUAUUACAAAUCAAGAGGCCAGAAAUCACAAGUUGGUUUUUAUACCAAGUAUUUCAUACUUUUUAUUACCAUUUAUAAGUAUUCAUUUCAAGUCGACAAUUUACAUCACAGCCCAUUGGCUCUCUGGAAUUGUCAGUAUAAUGUAUAUCAGCCAUAGGGACGAGGGGAAUAGCGGGUAAGACUGCGGGACCCAGAAAAACCUAAAACAUGAGGGGGAGGACAGGGGGGAGGAAACUGUGGUUUCUGCCACCAGAUCCCAAACUCGGCCCAAAUCAACACAGUGUUUGCCUCUCUGUGAUGAUCAUCAUCAUCAUCUUCAUCAUUCGAGUUGUUGUCAUCGGUCCAGUGCUGUUGUGCAGAAGGAAAAUGCUGGGAACUUGGAGGACUCAGUGCAGUGGACCUGCAAUAGCGAGAGACAUUUGAGCUUGAUGAAGGCAAAGAUCCUUUGGGCAGACCUGACAAAUAAUCUGAUAUCUAACCGCUGAUCUCAAACAGAUACAGACAAGGAGCGUCACAUGUUGCAACCUUCCCAAAUCAUACCACUUGCUUCUUCCCUUUUUCAUUAUACAGUAGGCCAGCUGAAUACCUUUGGCCACGGGUGUUGUCCAGGCUGCAUUCCCACAUGGCUCAGAUCCAGUGAAAUCCAGAUCAUCUCUGUAUGUGGUCUGGCUGAUCCAGUUGCAUUCUCAUCCUUUGUUUUGCAUACAUUUACGCCUGCAUUAAAGUACCUGUUUCCUUACCAAGAACUGAUAUCUACAGCAGACCGAUCACUCAGUCGGGCUGUUUGUUAAUUCUGGUGAGUGGAUUGUUAUUUUAAGUGUCUUCUUAUUGAAACUGCUUUUCAACUGACAAAGCGGCAAAUAUUUUAAAACUCAGCAUCUCAAUAAUGAGAUUUUGGAUCUUUAUUUAGUCAUAUAUAUGUAUUUGAUUUGCCAGUUUAUCAGAAUAUGUCAUUUUUGUUUCUCCUAAAAAUUAUCCUCCCAAGUCUUGGCAAUAAUAACAAACUUUUGAUAUGUCAAAGUAAGGCUAAGCUGAGCAUUAUAGUCAUUAUAGUCAGCGUUGGAACAGUAAACCAGCAGGACCAGCUAAAGAGAAUUCAGCCAUAGUUCAUUUUUUAAAGAUAUAUUUAGAGAAUAAACACUUGUAUUCUCUAUUCCUGUUGAAACCAUUUUCAGACGAUUCACAAAGGUUUCUAUAAAUAACCCCCCACCGAAGCUGUUAUGGAAUUAAUCAUUCAAUUAUGCAACAUGCUUACAUUUGAGGCUGGAGGGCGACUCCUCAUGACGUCCCUUCAGCUGCACUCUUCACACAAGCAGCGAAGGCCUCCAUCAGAUCUUUGCAGCCGCCGGCUCCCUUCUCCGCCACACUGGAGGAAAGAUUAACAACAGUUAGACCUCAAGUAAACCCACGUACAGGAGUUAAGCAUCAACUGGAUGCCAAUCCAAGGAAUUCUGUUGGCAAAACACAUGCAUGUUUGGUGUGCUAACAUUGGUAGAAGCAAAAACACGAGCAACAGCUCUCAACAAGAGGGAAAAGCUGAAGAAUAGGAAGAAGAGAUGAAUGCGACAGAGCGAGAGAGGAAGAGUGAUUUCAAGCUUGGGAAUAAUUUCAGGCUUCCCAUUCAGGAGCGAACACAGCCGACACUGCCACAGUGCAUUAGGGUGAUGGAGCGAGAGAGAGGGAGGGAGGGAGACAGAACAGCCAUGUGCGUGGACCCAUCUGUUUGAUGGGAGGGAGGGAGGUUGCGUGAUAAUGGAGAGAUAAUAAGACACAGAGGUAACAGGGGGAGGCCACAGGAGGAGAGGGUUCAUGUUACAUGAACGUAAACCAAUUGACUGGCUCCGCCUUCAUGAUGUCUCAUCAUCUCUCUGCUCCACUUUUCCUGCAACCCACCGAAGAGCAGGGGCCUCAAUCCCUCCAUCCCGACUCCAAUUCUAUUCACAACGGUUCCUACUCGCUGCCAAGAUAAAGGUUUUGCUUUUCAUCCAGCAUGUAGAUUUACUCACUUAUACGGUAUAACUUUUAUAAAUAUUGGUUUUUAAUCUGUCUGCUGCUUUUACCUUUCCUUUAUGAUCAGAAGAUUGGUUUUCCUUUUAUUCAUUUGGCUGCCAUUUUGGUGAUGUCAGCAGACAGUUAACCCCUCGAGGUCUGAGUGGGUAACUCUAACCCUAACUCCACCCUAACCAUAAUUUGGAGAAAGGGAAAACAAAUUUUCUGGGAAAAGCAC